CCUGUGUCCCUGGCCUGCAGCAAGACCAAAACAGAUGGGGUCCUCAGAUAAAUAAUCUACCAAACUCAAACAAGCCCCCAUGAGGCACAUGCAGAGUGAGGCUUUGUAUAACUUGUAACUUCACUACAGGAGACAGUUGAAUUAUUUUAGCUAAAAAUUACCAGAAGAGUCUGCCUGAGGCAGACAUCCAGCAUGGUAUAUUUGAGGUCGAGCAAGCCAUCACUAAUGGGAAGAGUUAAGCAACUUUAACUCCAGACAGAGCUCACAGGGGGAAAUUAGAAACUGGCUCUGUGGAUGGCCCCACCAGAAAACAUGUAGGGGCUCUAGAGGUGGACUUGCUGUUUUGCAGACCUACCAGG